CUACAACAUUUUAUUUAAGAUAUAAGACAAUAAGAAGUAUAUUACCUCCCGCAUUAUUAUUAUUAUAGUCUACUGCAACCAGUUAUUCCCCCUCAGUGAAGAAUAACCAUGGAAUCUACCUUGAUUAGAUUAAGAAAUAAAAACCAAUAAUUGCAAAUAACAACUAACAACAUCAUUCUCUUUACAUUAGAAAUUCAACAAAUAC
rnacentral:misc_RNA from 1 species